AGAGUUUGAUCCUGGCUCAGAUUGAACGCUGGCGGCAUGCCUUACACAUGCAAGUCGAACGGCAGCACGGGAGCAAUCCUGGUGGCGAGUGGCGAACGGGUGAGUAAAGUAUCGGAACGUACCAUUCAGUGGGGGAUAACGUAGCGAAAGUUACGCUAAUACCGCAUAUUCUGUGAGCAGGAAAGCAGGGGAUCGAAAGACCUUGCGCUGAUUGAGCGGCCGAUAUCAGAUUAGCUAGUUGGUGAGGUAAAGGCUCACCAAGGCGACGAUCUGUAGCGGGUCUGAGAGGAUGAUCCGCCACACUGGAACUGAGACACGGUCCAGACUCCUACGGGAGGCAGCAGUGGGGAAUUUUGGACAAUGGGCGCAAGCCUGAUCCAGCCAUGCCGCGUGAGUGAAGAAGGCCUUCGGGUUGU
rnacentral:rRNA from 1 species